CACGUAGGGGGCGAGCGUUAAUCGGAAUUACUGGGCGUAAAGUGUGCGCAGGCGGCCGAGCAAGUCGAGUGUGAAAGCCCCGAGCUUAACUUGGGAACUGCGCUCGAAACUACUUGGCUAGAGUGUGGCAGAGGGAGGUGGAAUUCCACGUGUAGCGGUGAAAUGCGUAGAGAUGUGGAGGAACACCAGUGGCGAAGGCGACUACCUGGCCUGUUCUUGACGCUGAGGCGCGAAAGCUAGGGGAGCAAACGGG
rnacentral:rRNA from 1 species